rnacentral:rRNA from 1 species
UGCUUCUUUGCUGACGAGUGGCGGACGGGUGAGUAAUGUCUGGGAAACUGCCUGAUGGAGGGGGAUAACUACUGGAAACGGUAGCUAAUACCGCAUAACGUCGCAAGACCAAAGAGGGGGACCUUCGGGCCUCUUGCCAUCGGAUGUGCCCAGAUGGGAUUAGCUAGUAGGUGGGGUAACGGCUCACCUAGGCGACGAUCCCUAGCUGGUCUGAGAGGAUGACCAGCCACACUGGAACUGAGACACGGUCCAGACUCCUACGGGAGGCAGCAGUGGGGAAUAUUGCACAAUGGGCGCAAGCCUGAUGCAGCCAUGCCGCGUGUAUGAAGAAGGCCUUCGGGUUGUAAAGUACUUUCAGCGGGGAGGAAGGGAGUAAAGUUAAUACCUUUGCUCAUUGACGUUACCCGCAGAAGAGGCACCGGCUAACUCCGUGCCAGCAGCCGCGGUAAUACGGAGGGUGCAAGCGUUAAUCGGAAUUACUGGGCGUAAAGCGCACGCAGGCGGUUUGUUAAGUCAGAUGUGAAAUCCCCGGGCUCAACCUGGGAACUGCAUCUGAUACUGGCAAGCUUGAGUCU